UCUAUGGAGAGUACAAGAACUUGUGAGUAGUAUCUGGAUUUGUUCAGUAUGAAAGCAUGCUCGAUGAAGUAGGAA
rnacentral:sRNA from 35 species